UUUUUUUGUUUUUGGUUUGUUACAUUCUUAGACUUGUAGUGUUUAAAAAAUUGAAGGCUCAUUGCUUGCGCAACUUGCCUAAUUUAUAAAAGUUCACAGUGUUGGAAAUGAAGGGUCGAGCCUCUCUGAUGAAGAGAGCACUCUAAAAUUCAUUAAUGAUCCUUCCGCAGGUUCACCUACGGAAA
rnacentral:misc_RNA from 1 species